CUUCAUGCCUCACACUUGAGGAUUAGUGAAAUUUUUUGAAUGAUUACUUACACAUUUUUAUUUCUAUUCAAUUAUUCACCUCAACUGUCUUUGGGAUAUUUCCAUCAGCUUAAAUAUUUCAUUUUCUUCCUCCCUGCAUCCUGUACCUAUCUCUUUAAAUUUUGUUUUUGUCCCCUUAAUUCAGACUUAAAUUUGGAGUACUUUGAUACUUCUGCAUUCCUUUUUUUCCUAAAACUAAACCAUCAACUUUUUCAUUUAAAAAAACUAUUUUUAUCCAUUUGAGAAACUUGAUAGUUAUUCUCAUUUAGUACCUUUUUUUCCUAUCAGUAUCUACUACAUAACAGACAGUUGUUUUUCACAUUAUCUCAUUUCCUGGUUGCUUUUUGGUGUAUUUUAGAAUGAUUCUAUUAUGUGGUCUAUUAUAUUGUGAUAUAAUAAAACCUAUAUAUUGAAUCUCUCUGUUUCUGAUUCUUGACACAAAGGAACUAGAACCCUUGAAAUUCUCAAGAGUGACAAGUGUUU
rnacentral:lncRNA from 1 species